UACGUAGGGCGCAAGCGUUAUCCGGAAUUAUUGGGCGUAAAGAGCUCGUAGGCGGCUUGUUGCGUCGACUGUGAAAACCCGCGGCUUAACUGCGGGCUUGCAGUUGAUACGGGCAGGCUAGAGUUCGGUAGGGGAGACUGGAAUUCCUGGUGUAGCGGUGAAAUGCGCAGAUAUCAGGAGGAACACCGGUGGCGAAGGCGGGUCUCUGGGCCGAUACUGACGCUGAGGAGCGAAAGCGUGGGGAGCGAACAGG
rnacentral:rRNA from 1 species